GACGAACGCUGGCGGCGUGCCUAAUACAUGCAAGUCGAACGAGAGCGCCCGGUGCUUGCACUGGUCAAUCUAGUGGCGAACGGGUGAGUAACACGUGGGUAACCUGCCCAUCAGAGGGGGAUAACAUCCGGAAACGGAUGCUAAAACCGCAUAGGUCUUCGAACCGCAUGGUUUGAAGAGGAAAAGAGGCGCAAGCUUCUGCUGAUGGAUGGACCCGCGGUGCAUUAGCUAGUUGGUGGGGUAACGGCUCACCAAGGCCGUGAUGCAUAGCCGACCUGAGGGGGUGAUCGGCCACAUUGGGACUGAGACACGGCCCAAACUCCUACGGGAGGCAGCAGUAGGGAAUCUUCCGCAAUGGACGCAAGUCUGACGGAGCAACGCCGCGUGAGUGAAGAAGGUGUUCGGAUCGUAAAACUCUGUUGUUAGAGAAGAACAAGUGCUAGAGUAACUGUUAGCGCCUUGACGGUAUCUAACCAGAAAGCCACGGCUAACUACGUG
rnacentral:rRNA from 1 species